rnacentral:rRNA from 1 species
ACGGGAGGCAGCAGUGGGGAAUAUUGCACAAUGGGGGAAACCCUGAUGCAGCGACGCCGCGUGAGUGAAGAAGUAUUUCGGUAUGUAAAGCUCUAUCAGCAGGGAAGAUAAUGACGGUACCUGACUAAGAAGCACCGGCUAAAUACGUGCCAGCAGCCGCGGUAAUACGUAUGGUGCAAGCGUUAUCCGGAUUUACUGGGUGUAAAGGGAGCGUAGGCGGCUUUGCAAGUCUGAUGUGAAAGCCCGGGGCUCAACCCCGGUAUUGCAUUGGAAACUGUAGAGCUAGAGUGUCGGAGGGGUAAGUGGAAUUCCUAGUGUAGCGGUGAAAUGCGUAGAUAUUAGGAGGAACACCAGUGGCGAAGGCGGCUUACUGGACGAUUACUGACGCUGAGGCUCGAAAGCGUGGGGAGCAGACAGGAUUAGAUACCCUGGUA